AUUGAACGCUGGCGGCUUGCCUUACACAUGCAAGUCGAACGGCAGCACGGGUGCUUGCACCUGGUGGCGAGUGGCGAACGGGUGAGUAAUACAUCGGAACAUGUCCUGUAGUGGGGGAUAGCCCGGCGAAAGCCGGAUUAAUACCGCAUACGAUCUACGGAUGAAAGCGGGGGACCUUCGGGCCUCGCGCUAUAGGGUUGGCCGAUAGCUGAUUAGCUAGUUGGUGGGGUAAAGGCCUACCAAGGCGACGAUCAGUAGCUGGUCUGAGAGGACGACCAGCCACACUGGGACUGAGACACGGCCCAGACUCCUACGGGAGGCAGCAGUGGGGAAUUUUGGACAAUGGGCGAAAGCCUGAUCCAGCAAUGCCGCGUGUGUGAAGAAGGCCUUCGGGUUGUAAAGCACUUUUGUCCGGAAAGAAAUCCUUGGCUCUAAUACAGUCGGGGGAUGACGGUACCGGAAGAAUAAGCACCGGCUAACUACGUG
rnacentral:rRNA from 1 species